rnacentral:rRNA from 1 species
GACGAACGCUGGCGGCGUGCCUAAUACAUGCAAGUCGAGCGGACAGAAGGGAGCUUGCUCCCGGAAGUUAGCGGCGGACGGGUGAGUAACACGUGGGCAACCUACCCUGUAGAUCGGGAUAACAUCGAGAAAUCGGUGCUAAUACCGGAUAAUCAUUUGAAGUGCAUGCUUCGAAUGUAAAAGAUGGCUCUGGCUAUCACUACGGGAUGGGCCCGCGGCGCAUUAGCUAGUUGGUAAGGUAAUGGCUUACCAAGGCAACGAUACGUAGCCGACCUGGGAGGGUGAUCGGCCACACUGGGACUGAGACACGGCCCAGACUCCUACGGGAGGCAGCAGUAGGGAAUCUUCCGCAAUGGACUAAAGUCUGACGGAGCAACGCCGCGUGAGUGAUGAAGGUUUUCGGAUCGUAAAGCUCUGUUGUUAGGGAAGAACAAGUGCCGUUUGAAUAAGGCGGCACCUUGACGGUACCUAACCAGAAAGCCACGGCUAACUACGUGCCAGCAGCCGCCGUAACAC